GCGCCUGUAGCUCAGUUGGAUAGAGCGUUAGCUUCCGAAGCUAGAGGUCAGAAGUUCGAAUCUUCUCAGGCGCU
rnacentral:tRNA from 1 species